CACCACUCAAGCCUGGCUUGGUAUUGGGCGCCGCGGUCCGCCGCGCGCCUUAAUGUGUCCGGCUGAGCCGCCCGUCUCUAAGCGUUGUGGUAACCUAUCCGCUUGCGAGAUUGGGGGGCGUCUGGCCGUUAAACUCAUUCAAA
rnacentral:misc_RNA from 1 species